UACAGGGGGUGCAAACGUUGCUCGGAAUCAUUGGGCGUAAAGCGCACGUAGGCGGUCUGUUAAGUCGGAUGUGAAAGCCCUCGGCUCAACCGAGGAAGUGCAUACGAAACUGGCGGACUUGAAUAUGGAAGAGGGUCGCGGAAUUCCCGGUGUAGAGGUGAAAUUCGUAGAUAUCGGGAGGAACACCAGUGGCGAAGGCGGCGACCUGGGCCAAUAUUGACGCUGAGGUGCGAAAGCGUGGGGAGCAAAACAGG
rnacentral:rRNA from 1 species